AAUCUGGAAGUUGGCACUACAAG
rnacentral:miRNA from 1 species